rnacentral:rRNA from 1 species
UACGGAGGGUGCAAGCGUUAUCCGGAUUUACUGGGUUUAAAGGGUGCGUAGGCGGCCUUAUAAGUCAGUCGUGAAAUGCCCCGGCUCAACCGGGCGACGUGCGAUUGAUACUGUUUGGCUUGAAUCGGGUUGAGGCAGGCGGAAUGUGGCAUGUAGCGGUGAAAUGCUUAGAUAUGCCAUAGAACACCGAUUGCGAAGGCAGCUUGCUGGGCCCGUAUUGACGCUGAGGCACGAAAGCGUGGGGAGCAAACAGG